rnacentral:rRNA from 2 species
UUUUUAUGAGAGUUUGAUCCUGGCUCAGGACGAACGCUGGCGGCGUGCCUAAUACAUGCAAGUCGAACGCUUCUUUUUCCA